rnacentral:rRNA from 1 species
UUAUGCGAUAACUGGUGUGAAUUGCAGAAUCCCGUGAACCAUCGAGUCUUUGAACGCAAGUUGCGCCCGAUGCCAUUAGGUUGAGGGCACGUCUGCCUGGGUGUCACAUAUUGAAGCCUCCUGCCAAUUUCCUUUUGACAGGUAUUGUGCAGGGUGGAUGUUGGCCUCCCGUGAGCUCUCUUUCGUCUCAUGGUUGGUUGAAAAUUGAGACCUUGGUAGGGUGUGCCAUGAUAAAUGGUGGUUGUGUGACCCACGAGACCAAUCAUGUGUUGCUCUAUUGAAUUUGGGCUCUUUUACCCAUUUGCGUUUCUAAACGCUCGUGAUGAGACCUCAGGUCAGGCGGGGCUACCCGCUGAAUUUAAGCAUAUCAAUAAGCGGAGGAAAAGAAACUAACAAGGAUUCCCUUAGUAACGGCGAGCGAACCGGGAUAAGCCCACCAUGAGAAUCGAUCGCCCUCGGCGUUCGAAUUGUAGUCUGANAAAGCGUCAA